ensembl:lncRNA
GAUCAGUCUGUCUGUAGUCGCUUUGCACAGCAAAAAAAGCUUAGGUGAUGGUGACAAAUCUCCGCCUGGUGUGCACAUCCCACCGCUACAAAGUACCAGAUUAGAGGGUACAGGAUGCAUUCAGCCGUCUCAAACCAAGAUCAGUGAAGAGUGCGGAGCGAGGAGUCAGCAGGCUGCCAGUGGCAGAAUAAAACAGGCAACUGUUUUGAAAAAGUCUGAUUCAUCCUAACCAUUUGGGUCUUUGAGCAGGCUGCCAUGAUGAGGGACCAUAAAAAUAUGCAGUUUUCUCCAGUUCAAUGCUAGAUCGCUCAACCGAUCGCAUGACAAUGACACAGAUUCUGAAAGAAGAUCUACCAGGAGGUUUUGUGCAGGGCAAGCAGAAGAAGAUAUCCUCUGGAUAAUGAGAAGCAGAAGAUAGAGCAGCUUAAUCAAGUCUGAAAGCUAAUGCAGAUGCAAAUGGCCAUCCCGGGGCGAUUCCUCUUCCUUUCGCUUUCUGCCAAAAGAGGUCGGCACUACCUCCGUCUGACGGACCAAACGCUGCCGGGGGAAAAACAGCAUGCACACCAGGGGACGUCAUGCCAUCUACCGUCCCAUCCCAGCCUGCUUCGCCGGAACCUGACGGAUUCCCCGGCUUCCCCUCUCGCCCUCCGCGGCUUGGGAGAACUCCUCAAGCCAGUCGGAUCAUUACCUCUCCCUCCAGCGUGGAUUCUAUCUACCGCACCGCUCCUGCCGCCAGCUCCAGGAACACCACUCCCUUCCACCACAAUGUGCGAGAAUGACAUGUUAACCUAUUGCAUUCGACUGUCUUCCACUUUGUCUGAUGUAAGAAAACAGGUUGUAGCUGCACUUCCGAGAGAAGCAACGGGUCCACUACACCGACUGCAACCAGGUGACUUCGUGGUGGUGAAGGACUUCAGGAGGAAAAGUUGGAAAGCUAAACGGUGGCAGGGUCCAUUCCAGAUUCUCCUGGUCACCCAAACAGCGGUCAAGGUACCUGAAAGGGCGACUUGGGUCCACGCAUCCCAUUGCAAGAAGGUUCCAGAUCCAGUACCAGCAGUGGGCUCAGGCGACCCUACCUCCACAACAAGUGUCAAUCAACCGACACCACCGAUCCAGUGACCACGGACAGGCAGUUGACCGACA